rnacentral:piRNA from 1 species
UGAUGUUCUUUUCAUCAAGUAAAGCAGGU